GCACUGGUGCACUUAUUUUUUAAAGAAGUAAUUCUGAAAGUGAAACAUGGAAUAGAAAAGUUUAACAAUCAGAUUUGCUCAGUAUUUUGUAGUUUUUUCUUUUUUGUUUCUUUUUUGUUUCUCAUUCUAUUCAUUAAACUAGAUAAACAAUUUGAGGAACAAUUUGAUUAUACUUCAUAUAUAUUGGAUGUUGAUUUACAUAAUUGUAUUAUUAUUGUUAUAGUUAUAUAUUACUACUUCUGUCUAA
rnacentral:lncRNA from 1 species